CUCACACAGCCCGCAACCAAACCCACACAGGCAGCGAGGAGCUCACCAGGAAGCUGACGUACCCUCACCCCUCCGCUACUCCUCGUCACAGCACAUCUGGGACCGACCGCUCUCUGCCGGCCCAGCCCUGGGACUAAUGCGGCCUGUACGCGCAGCGGUCCCUGCUUACCGCUUGCUUUUUUUUUUCCCCUUCUAUCUUUGUAGUAUAAUUUUUCACAUCUGCUAAAAUAAGAGGUCCAUCUGAACGCCCAUAGAGCGCGGGGCUCCGCUCUUCGUCUUCUCUCCCCCCUCGCUCCCAGUAGCCGACUUCCGUAACGUCUAUUUUAACAGCCGCGCUCCGCUUCCUGCCUCUGGUGAGCUUUCACCCGUGAAUGGGACAGGAGUGGAGCUGUGGCAUCUGCAGGAGGACGGCUUGAGCGCAGGAUUUACCUUGAAGAAAACACUUGUUGGGGAGAAAGGUAGGAUAAAUGGGACUAGAUGGUUGUUAUCAGGCAGAUCUGCCAACGUUUGUUUGGUGUCAGAAUGUGCCUUUCUGCUGCUGUCAGAAUAUGGUGGGAUUUUGCACUGUGCUGUGCAUCUUCGUGUUUGAUACCUCUAAAAUAUGCCGUUUUGAUCAAUGGGUGUUUACAAAUAUUUGAGUAGAAAAGACCAUACAAAUAUACUCUCUUGACUUUAGAUAUGAUCUCAGUUUUCAAAUGCAGGUCUGAAGAGGUAGCACACGGGUGAAGGUGGGCACAGACUUUGUAAGGAUACCAUGUUUGGGCCUUUGGCAGCCUCUGCUGGGUAAAAAACUCCACGUUUGCUUGCUUCCUGCUGCACUGAGAGAGUGAGCCUUGGUGGGACGUGAUGCCCAGGUACAUUAGCACUAGAUUAGCUGUAGGAAACCAGGAAAAGCAAUAGCUUCGUACUUACUGAAAAUAUGUGUUUUUAUAAGUAAGCUCUGCUUGCUGUCUAAGGUCCAGAGCAAAGAAUUAAAACAGAAAAAAUGGGCUUGAUUCUGAGAUAUAGCAAGACCUAAGUUUGUAGUCCAUUAGCAGGGCAAAGUGGCUAUAAAUUACUGACAAUCUCAUGUUAAGGGAAUUUUGUUGUUCCAAAGCAGUGUAAGAUGGGCUUACAGAAAAAGAUCAGUCCAGCUGUGUCAAAGAACGGUCCCUAUAUUGUGCAGCAUGAUAAAACCAUGAAGCUGGGGGGGGCUCACUUCCAGAAGUUACUAAAGAUGCUUUUCCCACCUGAUAACCUGCUUUCACAAGUAAAUGUUUGCAUGCAGAGAUUUAACAGAUUGUGGCUCAGUUUAGGGAUGAAACGGAAGCCUUUUCCCCGCUGCAUGGACCCAACACCAGCGGCUGGCGAUAGAGCAGCAUCACCCGAUCACAGCUGCCAGUGGUAUCAGGAAGCAAUCUCUUGUACAGCUAGGAGCAAGCCGUACAGAUCCUCAGUGGUGCCAGUGGGCACUUUGCAUACUCAAAGCUCACAGGAAAUGAGCAGAGCUUGUGGUGGCAGUCUUGUAGGCUGAGCCACUGGCCCAUCCUGUACAGCAUCAGCGGAAGAACUUGUGGCCUUUCCUCCACGUUAUUUCUCAUAACCCAUUAGGAGGACAUUGAGGCAGAGAGAUGCGUGUCUGCUGUUCCUCUUCCUGUUAUUUCUGUGCCAUUCUGAUACAUAGCAGCCGCUGGGUUAAGAGCUGUAAAUGAAAGGGAUUUUCGCUGAAGACCAUCUCCCUAAAUUGAACGCUUCCAUUUUCUUUGUAAAAGUUGGCGCUGUGAUUCUACAGUUUUAAUUAAGAAACAGGCAGAUAUUAUUGACUGCAUCAUUCAAGUGAUUAAUUCAAUUUGGCAGUGCUUAUACACUGAAAAAAUCGCAGUGUUUUUUAUAAUACUUUCGAGCUUUGUUUGGAAAGAAAGAAAAUGAAUAACCAUGAAACUCGCCUGUUUCAAAGUCUUGAGUUUCAGGCAUCACUCCGCACAGUGUAACAUCAUUUCCAAAUUAGGUUCUCACCCUGGCCAGCGGUGUGUGAUUUUAGUAAUUCAGCUGUUUUUAACUGUUUCCAUGACACAGAAAGAGCUAACAGCUGCACAGUCUUGGGAUAACCCAAGUGGUGGUAGUCUAUAAUGGAAGUUGUCUGCUGCUGUCUCAUAUUAAAGCAAUACGCGAAUCCUGUGCAGGAUCACACAGAUAUAAGAAACACUGCAAUGCAGUGUAACAGCACAGCAUGUGGUCUUCUCUACAACACUUCUCCGCAAAACCAAACAUGGUUUCAUGAUACGUUUAGCAGAAUUAUAUUGUGCUUCAUUUCUGAUGUCAGUAAAGAAACGAGGAAAACAUCCCUCACCUUCCCAAAGCUUUGAUACCAGUAGAAGGAGAAGCACGGGGAGGCAGAAAAAACUCUGCAACGCAGCAGUGGAACUCACUAGUAGGCACCCUUGAUGUAUUGGGUCUAAGAUGAAUGGGUGCCAGAGGAGCGUGGAGUAAUGGUUGCUGCAGGUCUGGAGGCUGUGCUGGAGGCUGGCUGGUGGAUCGCUGGGAGCACAGCUGUGUGCCGAUAUUCCUCUCACUGCAGGGAGAACCAUGCCUUUUGCGCAAGGAGUUGUAUUUGGUCCUUUCUCUCAGAUGCUAGGAAGUGCAAAUUUCUUACCGGUGAGCGUGGUGUUGACCUGGCACAAUGGCAUCUAUUGGAUGAAAUUUCCAGCCGUAGGAACUUGCUGGAAACCAUGGGUUCAUCUGCUAUGGCUCGGGGGUUUCCCCAAAGGGGCUGCAGUGACAUAUCGCGUAGGAAAGACCCAACAUGUGCCGGAAAGGGAACGAACACCUUGCCCAGCAGAAGUCAGCACCAAGGGCUGUGGUUGAGCACAGUACACUGUGCCAUUUGUCGCACACAAGUGCAGAGUGGCAGUCUCAAGAGCUUGAUACAGCCAACCCAUUUGGGGAUGUUUGACCAGCUGGUGAUACCUCUUCUGCUCAUGAGUGCCAAGCAUUUGCUUUUGAAGGUUAGCCUAGUUUAAGUCAAAUGACAUAUAACACCGCUUCUCCUGUGUGAGAACAAGACCCCUACAUGGUUAACUGGUUUGAUUAUUUCCUGCGCACGCUCUCAUUGAAAUAAUAUGAAAUCUUUCCGUCCAGCUUUCCUUCUUUGCUGAAAGCCUUGCCGGGGGGACACAGUUUAUUUGCAACAUGCUUUUUCAAACUGAGUAACUGUGCUUAAAAACUGGUAAAUUCUCUAGAAUUCAGUUAUUGAAUUAGCGAUACAUUUGAACAUCUGUUAGGUUCCUUGGUGUGCUUAUGAUUUUCUCACAAAAAUAGAGUAUAAAACAUAUGUCUUCAAAAUCCCUCAUGUGAUUUCCUUUGUCCUCGUUAGUCUAAAUACUAGUUUUACAUUUCAUAUAUCUUCCAAGUGGAGUUUUAAUUCUGGAUGAAAAGCUGAUGUGUGAAAUGUCUGAGUUUAAAUCAAGUCUCCCAGGAUUCAAAGAUAAAGCACAGGAAAUAUUUGCAUAAUGUUCAAACGUAGCUCUCCUAAAAUCUCUCUUAUUUUUUUUCACAUGUGAUCAUUCUCAUGCAAAGUAUGUAAAAAUCAAUGAAAAAUGUAGCAUGUUUCUUUCUAUGCUUCCCACUGAAAAAGAGAAACUCUUCAUUAAGGUUUACCAUAGCAUGGGGAUUUGCAUGAUCUUCAAACCAAAUAGACAUCAGCUUUCAGUAUCUGAAGAGGCUUCUCAAAGUACUGAACUGAAGAAUAGGUGAGAAGGAUUUUUAUAUUAUUUUUGGUGGUAGAGCAGAGCCUUUUCUCCUCUUAACCUAUUCCAUAUGACUCACUGCUGUCUGCAAUGUUACAUUUUAUUAUCUUAUAUAAAAGUGAUGUGAGAUUAAGUAUUGGAAUUGGAGAAAAGCGAAGGGAGCCUGACCCUGAAAUGUAUAUUCUGCCCUGCCAUACGAUUGCAGUAAGAUAAAUCAAUGCAAAAUCUGAACAGCCAGGCAUGAUCUGUACUAAUUCCUGAAAAAAAAGGAGAACUCUUCACAACGCAUUCAUUUGAAACCGUGCUUUGAUCGCAGCAAUGCACAAGACGUGGACGAUUGAUUCCGUGUAAGCAAGUAGACCCACUCACUUACUGAGUUUAAUUUAGUUUACUACAAUUAAGGAAUUCUGGGGAGGCUACGUACCAAAAAAAACAAAACAAAACAAAACAAAAAAAAACCCACUAAAACGUUAAUUUCUACCUAUAACAUAAAUCUGAUGUUAUGAUUGUGCCUGGUGCAGGGCAGGAAUACAGCGUUGUGGGCUAGAUUGUGGAUGCCAACACCUUUGUUAAUUUAUAAAACAAGACCUUAAAGCAACAAACAUGGAAAAGGUUGUGAUAAUUGUAUGUUUUGUGUUGCACUUUCUACUUGCAGAGCGACUGAUGUUGUUUCUGAGCCAGCCCUUUUUACAUUGGUGGGUACAUUUUAGCCGAUGUACACAUAGACAAGAUUUCAAAAUGAACGGUGGAGUUUGGCUGUUUCCCUCCGGGUGAAAUCUGGGUGAAGAUUUUAAACAGUUGAAUUUGCACAGGGGCAAGAAAACCCUUCUUCUUGCUGGUCAUUCUAAGGAGAAAACCUAAGACUGUCAGCCAGGUUCUCAGUGCUAUAAAAUUGAUAACCAAUCAAAUUGUUGUUGCUUACUUACUCUGGCUUCGCUCAUUAACCCGCAGUUUGACAUUCAUCAGAACAGGACAAACAGAACCCUGAGAUGCACUGAGCGAUUCGGGACAUUCUUCCUGAAACACAAAAAAAAAACCCAACCACUACACAUCUUAGCAAGAAGUCGUUAUUCUGAAUUGUUAGAUCAAAUGACAGGUUAUAAUUUGCUGCUCAAAACGCCUAUAGAUUUAACGUUUUUUAUUCUUAUCACAAAAUAUGCAAAAAUAAUCUUCUGUCAAACACGACAAUUCUGUUCUAACGUUUUCCUUCUCCUCCUUUAUCUCUCACUGAAAUCUAACUUCGGUAAAUACUUAAUUUAAUGAAUAUGGAGAACCUCCCGGGGUGAGGGGAGGAGAUGCAGGAUGAGAGCCUACUUACUGUGAUAGACAUUUCAUAAACACAGAGCAAAGUUACAUCCAGACAGACCUCUAACCUUGGCAAUAUUGCGAGAGAUCCACGGAGGUUACAAAGAGUAGAAUGAGUAUUUUCAGAUUUUUUUCAGCAUCAAGGAGGGCGUUAUGUCAGCUGUGUUGUUCUGUAUUAGCUGCUAGCUGCACUGUUAACAUCGAUCGCUUGGUAGUGUCUAAGGGUCAAGAAGGUUGGGUGCUCUGUAAGCACGGGAGAGGAGUGUGGUCCUGCCCAGGUCAGAGCUAACCACACUGAAGGCAGCCCUCUGUGGCUGUGGGCUCGGCAUGGGCCCGAGAGAGAGCCCUCUUCUCUGGGGACGCAGGUGUGUUUGUGGGGUGCCGGCUCAUUAGUUCUAGCGUUUCACCACGCUGCACAUCUGGGGGAUUUAACGUAAAUUCGUGUAUCUCCUUAAUAACAAUUUAUCGUCAUGUAUUAUAACGAUGGGACUAAAAUCACAGUGGCUGAGUAUACAGUAGAAAAGUAAUUGUUUAAGAUGUAUGAAUGUGUGCGUAUUACCUCAUAUAAUGUUCCGAUCUAUCAGCCAUAUACCUAUGCUACUGCAAUUCCAGAUCUAGCUGAGUGCUCAUUGCUGCUUGUGUGGAUACAAAUAUGUGUGCACAUCUAUACGUAGAAAUAAAGUGAAGACCAUGACCACUACAUUUCAAUUAAAAAAAGAAGUUGUCAUUUCAGUAACAUAUCCAUUAUUUGAUGCAAAAUCUGCAUGUAGAUUUUAAAACGAGGAUGAAAUAUCUUAA
rnacentral:lncRNA from 1 species